rnacentral:rRNA from 1 species
UACGGGGGGAGCAAGCGUUGUUCGGAUUUACUGGGCGUAAAGGGCGCGUAGGCGGCCACCGCAAGUCGACUGUGAAAUCUCCGGGCUUAACCCGGAAAGGUCAGCCGAUACUGCGGGGCUAGAGUGCAGAAGGGCAACUGGAAUUCUCGGUGUAGCGGUGAAAUGCGUAGAUAUUGGGAGGAACACCAGUGGCGAAGGCGGCUCACUGGACCGGAACUGACGCUGAGGCGCGAAAGCGUGGGGAGCAAACAGG